rnacentral:tRNA from 2 species
GGGUUGGUAGCUCAGCGGUAGAGCAGCGGCCUUUUAAGCCGUUGGUCGUGGGUUCGAGUCCCACCCGACCCACCA